rnacentral:rRNA from 1 species
UGGGGAAUAUUGGGCAAUGGGGGCAACCCUGACCCAGCGACGCCGCGUGGGGGAAGACGGCCUUCGGGUUGUAAACCUCUUUUGUACGGGAAGAAGGAAGUGACGGUACUGUACGAAUAAGUCCCGGCUAACUACGUGCCAGCAGCCGCGGCAAUACGUAGGGGACGAGCGUUGUCCGGAAUUACUGGGCGUAAAGGGCGCGCAGGCUGUGCUGCAAGUCAGCUGUUAAAUGUCUGGGCUUAACCCGGGCAUGCGGUUGAGACUGCGGUGCUGGAGUACUGUAGAGGAGAGUGGAAGUCCCAGUGUAGCGGUGAAAUGCGUAGAUAUUGGGAAGAACACCGGUGGCGAAGGCGACUUGCUGGGCAGCAACUGACGCUGAGGCGCGAAAGCCAGGGGAGCA